rnacentral:misc_RNA from 1 species
AACGGUCUAUACCUGCGGUACCUGCGGAAGGAUCAUUAACGCGCCGUGGAGGUUGCCUUUAAACAGGUCUGACCUUCCACCUGGCCACCCUUGUUUAUCUUUAACCUGUUGCUUUGGUGGGCCCGCUGCAAGGCCGCUGGAGAAUUUAAAAGUUUUCUGGCCCGUGCCCACCAAAGUCCUAGUGAGCUCUUUGUUAAUUUUCUGCUGUCUGAGCAUUAAAAGAAACAAUUUUUAAAACUU